rnacentral:rRNA from 1 species
AAACCUGCGAAACUCGAAUGAACGAACGGAGAGAUUCAUCGUCGUUCGGCGGCGUACGGGCGUGCGCCUCGAUGUCGUGCUUGCGUUGCAUUAGUGGCGUAUUGUGUGACACGGGUCGCGUCCGUCGACGUUCGCCGAAGGCGUGCACUUCUCUCUUAGUAAUACAUCGCGACCCGUUCGAUGUCGGCAUAAGCGCCGUUCGGGAGUCCAAUUGUCGCGUUCGCGCGGCGGCUGGACCGCGACGGUUGCCUGCCGGCUGUCGGACGGUAGUACAAAAUCGUACAAUAUACGAAUCGCGCACGCGUCUUGAACGCGUCCGGCCCGACGCAAGCGUGCACCGUAUAAAGUCUCUGUCCUGCCCCAGUGCGGACAGGGGCACGGCGCUGCUGUUGUCGCAGCCGUGUUGUCUCGGACUGUGCGCGUAUCCGUCUGCGAUGAUUC